UACCAGCACCCCGAGUGGUCGGGGCGAUUAUUGGGCCUAAAGCGUCCGUAGCCGGUCCUGCAAGUCUUCCGUUAAAUCCAGCUGCUCAACAGAUGGGCUGCGGGAGAUACUACAGGGCUAGGAGGCGGGAGAGGCAAGCGGUACUUUAUGGGUAGGGGUAAAAUCCGCUGAUCCAUAGAAGACCACCAGUGGCGAAGGCGGCUUGCCAGAACGCGCUCGACGGUGAGGGAUGAAAGCUGGGGGAGCAAACCGG
rnacentral:rRNA from 1 species